UGCCACGGUAUUUGGAUCAAAACCUCCCUCAGCCUCGGUUUUGCCAAAGUAAGCCUGUUUUCCUAGUAAAAAAUCCACCUUGGCAAGAAAUUCUACAGGGGAACCAUAGUCAGUGAUGGAUUUCUUAUCAGUUGGGGUGACAAUGACAGAAACAUUGCUGUUGGGAUCAAAGUUGUCCUCAUAUCUAAGAACCUGACCUGGGAACUCUCUCUCCCUGCUUGGGUUCCAUUUUGAUGGAAUUGACAAUUUGAAUCCAUCUCCAUUGUAUGGCAAGAAGUCUGUGUUUGUUUUAGGCUUGCCAAAGACAUUGGCAGCUUCACCAUAGGCAGCAUCUGCAGGAGCAACCUUGGAGCCAAUGGCUG
rnacentral:misc_RNA from 1 species